AACAGAAGAGGAAGCCGGAGAAAC
rnacentral:misc_RNA from 1 species